AGCCCAGUGUCCUACUGAUGAGUGCUGAGUUCACACCGCAGCCUGUUUCUUUGUGAAGAGCUAAUAGGAAAGUGGGUGGAGGAGAGAGAUUAUUUCCAAGGCUUCUGUAGGAACUGAAUAGCCUUUGAGAUGCCCUCUCCUGUCUGCUUUGCUGAGGUUGCCCAGUGGGUCACAGAAGCUGUAAGAAGCAGYCAGAGGCAGCGUGACUGCAUCCUUUAGAAACCAGACUGAAAACGCUGCUGCUUUUCUUUUAGAUGGGUACGUAGUCAUGUGUCAGUUCCCUCCCACCCCCAGCCAUGGGCUGGAAAGGAGAGAGGACCAAAGGACCAUUCARUCCCUUUGAUGCCAGUGCAGUUCUAGCUGUUUGACCCAUGCCUCUCAUGCUAGGGGCCCAGUUUUCAAGCAMCUGUAGCUGGUGGCAUGCUGUGACUCACUAGUUCUUGCCUCCAGAUUAAAUGUUGCUGUGAAUGGGCUCAGGACAGUAGCAUGGAGGAGCYGGGCAGGUCUGUGUGUUCCUGCCAUCGUUUUAUCUUGAGGAUGGCCUGUGCCUUGCUGCUGUGAGUACCCACUCUGCGUUUACUCUGAAGAUUGAUAGUUUGCACUUGUUUCUUGCAGAAACUGCGUGUGGAGUUGGUGGAGGUGGACAAGGUGCUGGUAGCUCUGAACCAGCAAGAAGGCAUUGGGAAGUCAGCACGUCUCGACUCUCUGUACUGGAACGUUAUGCGCUGGCUGAAUUAUACGAAACCCAAGAAGGAGAAGACGGCAGUUGCCAAUAAGGCUGCCCAGGGAGCGGAGCUGCUCAAGCGGAAGAAGAAGGGCUUCCUGCCAGAGAGCAAGAAACGCAAGAAUCGCAAGAAACGCGUCCAGGAGAAUGGGGUAGCACCAGUAGCUGGUGAAGACGGAGCCACAGCAGCCCYAGAGGAACAGCCCGAGGGAAUAGACACCCCUGAGCAGAAGAAAGGCCUUGUGCCCAAUAGCAGGAAACCGAAGAAACACAAAUUGGCAGGCAGUGGGGAAGAAGCUGUUAAUGGAGAAGAUGCUGUGGCUGACAAGAAAAAGAGGAAGAAGAGGAGGAACAGAAAAAGGAAAGGUGAUGCAGGUAGUGAAGCUGAGCAGGUUCCAGCUGCAAAGAAAGCCAAGGGGAACAUCARCCAGGAGACCCAACCGAAACAGGGCAAAGCCAAGAAGAAAAGGAAAGUGAAAAAGGCUCCAGUGCUGCAGGAGUAAACUCCAUGGACUCACCCAGGCCUGACAGGGCCAGUGUGGCUCGGAGGACUGUUUUAAUACCUCUAUAACUAUAUUUUUUACACCCUCCUUGAAUAAACCUUCCAUGACGCCGAUCUCUAAAGCUGAG
rnacentral:lncRNA from 1 species